GACGAACGCUGGCGGCGUGCCUAAUACAUGCAAGUCGAACGCAGUGGGGACGGGUGAGUAACACGUGGGUAACCUCCCAAUCAGAGGGGAUAACACUUGUAACAAGGUGCUAAACCGAUACUGUUGGUUGAACCCGCGGUGCAUUAGCUAGUUGGUGAGGUAACGGCUCACCAAGGCCACGAUGCAAAGCCGACCUGAGAGGGUGAUCGGCCACACUGGGACGUAGACACGGCCCAGACUCCUACGGGAGGCAGCAGUAGGGAAUCUUCGGCAAUGGACGAAAGUCUGACCGAGCAACGCCGCGUGAGUGAAGAAGGUUUUCGGAUCGUAAAACUCUGUUGUUAGAGAAGCGGUAUCUAACCAGAAAGCCACGGCUAACUACGUGCCAGCAGCCGCGGUAAUUC
rnacentral:rRNA from 1 species